AUUGAACGCUGGCGGCAGGCUUAACACAUGCAAGUCGAGCGGGGGAAGGUAGCUUGCUACCGGACCUAGCGGCGGACGGGUGAGUAAUGCUUAGGAAUCUGCCUAUUAGUGGGGGACAACAUCUCGAAAGGGAUGCUAAUACCGCAUACGUCCUACGGGAGAAAGCAGGGGAUCUUCGGACCUUGCGCUAAUAGAUGAGCCUAAGUCGGAUUAGCUUGUUGGUGGGGUAAAGGCCUACCAAGGCGACGAUCUGUAGCGGGUCUGAGAGGAUGAUCCGCCACACUGGGACUGAGACACGGCCCAGACUCCUACGGGAGGCAGCAGUGGGGAAUAUUGGACAAUGGGGGGAACCCUGAUCCAGCCAUGCCGCGUGUGUGAAGAAGGCCUUAUGGUUGUAGAGCACUUUAAGCGAGGAGGAGGCUACUCUAGUUAAUACCUAGGGAUAGUGGACGUUACUCGCAGAAUAAGCACCGGCUAACUCUGUGCCAGCCGCCGCAGUAA
rnacentral:rRNA from 1 species